rnacentral:rRNA from 1 species
CAGCCGCCGCGGGAAUACGGAGGGUGCAAGCGUUAAUCGGAAUUACUGGGCGUAAAGCGCACGCAGGCGGUCUGUCAAGUCGGAUGUGAAAUCCCUGAGCUUAACUUAGGAAUUGCAUUCGAUACUGGGAAGCUAGAGUAUGGGAGAGGAUGGUAGAAUUCCAGGUGUAGCGGUGAAAUGCGUAGAGAUCUGGAGGAAUACCGAUGGCGAAGGCAGCCAUCUGGCCUAAUACUGACGCUGAGGUACGAAAGCAUGGGGAGCAAACAGGAUUAGAUACCCGAGUAGUCCCUGUCUCUUAUAA